CUGCCUCUUGUUCCUAGCGGUUCGGGGCGGCCCGGGAACACCUUGGGUACCUUUGUUUUGUGACCAGCAAAUCACACUUAACAGGAGGAAAGGCACGAGGACCAAUUUCAAAAAGGAAAAAUAGGAUAAUCAUCUCCACAGCAACUAUUAUAUCACAGAGGACGAUGCCUGCGAGUGAGAAGUGAUCAGCAGGAGCUGAGCAACACUUAAGCAGCAGAGAUUCUAUUUUCAUACAAAUAUUUCUAAUUAUAAUAAGCUGAGGAAGAAAUAUAUCAUUCUUCCCCUCACCACCUCCUCCAAUACAAGCAGAGCUAUUGCUACAUGGUUUCUCACAAAAAUAGGGUAACUUCAGCUACAGAAAGACUUAAUAAGAGCAUAUCAUCUCUAUGUAGAGACGAUACCACCUCUUAUUGCCAGGCACACAAGACCUUACUAAAGGAUAAGGGAUAAUACAAAGAAUAUAACAUUAUGAACCACAGGCUACUAGGUAAUUGCUCAGGGCCUACAAGCUCAGCCUAAGG